rnacentral:snRNA from 1 species
UUGCUUCUGCAGCAAAUAUACUAAAAUUGGAAUGAUACAGAGAAGAUUAGCAUGGGCCCUGUGCAAGGAUGACAUGCACAUUACUGAAGUGGUCCAUAUAUUU